rnacentral:rRNA from 1 species
UUCGAGGGCCUUUCGGGGUCUCGAGUGGCGACGGGUGAGUAACACGUGGGUGAUCUGCCCUGCACUCUGGGAUAAGCCUGGGAAACUGGGUCUAAUACCGGAUAGGACCAUGGGAUGCAUGUUCUGUGGUGGAAAGCUUUUGCGGUGUGGGAUGGGCCCGCGGCCUAUCAGCUUGUUGGUGGGGUGAUGGCCUACCAAGGCGACGACGGGUAGCCGGCCUGAGAGGGUGUCCGGCCACACUGGGACUGAGAUACGGCCCAGACUCCUACGGGAGGCAGCAGUGGGGAAUAUUGCACAAUGGGCGCAAGCCUGAUGCAGCGACGCCGCGUGGGGGAUGACGGCCUUCGGGUUGUAAACCUCUUUCAGUAUCGGCGAAGCUCCGUGGUUUUCUGCGGGGUGACGGUAGGUACAGAAGAAGCACCGGCCAACUACGUGCCAGCAGCCGCGGUAAUACGUAGGGUGCGAGCGUUGUCCGGAAUUACUGGGCGUAAAGAGCUCGUAGGUGGUUUGUCGCGUUGUUCUGAAAAAUCUCACAAGGGGGGG